rnacentral:rRNA from 1 species
GACGAACGCUGGCGGCGUGCUUAACACAUGCAAGUCGAACGGAAAGGCCCUUCGGGGUACUCGAGUGGCGCACGGGUGAGUAACACGUGGGUGAUCUGCCCUGCACUUUGGGAUAAGCCUGGGAAACUGGGUCUAAUACCGAAUAGGACCACGCGCUUCAUGGUGUGUGGUGGAAAGCUUUUGCGGUGUGGGAUGGGCCCGCGGCCUAUCAGCUUGUUGGUGGGGUAAUGGCCUACCAAGGCGACGACGGGUAGCCGGCCUGCGAGGGUGACCGGCCACACUGGGACUGAGAUACGGCCCAGACUCCUACGGGAGGCAGCAGUGGGGAAUAUUGCACAAUGGGCGCAAGCCUGAUGCAGCGACGCCGCGUGAGGGAUGACGGCCUUCGGGUUGUAAACCUCUUUCACCAGGGACGAAGCGUAAGUGACGGUACCUGGAGAAGAAGCACCGGCCAACUACGUG